GGUGACCAAUGGAAAUGUUGUGCCAGAGGACACAAGGAGGGGCACUUUCAUGCACAUAAAAACAUUAAACCAGAGGCUUUGCUAACAGUUUAUCUUUGCUAACAGUCGGUCUACCAGUUACUUUCCUGAAGCCAUUUUAUCUAAAGAAGUCGGCUGCACCAUGUCUUUUUUAAAGAAAGGACUUGGAGAUAUAAAAACCGAUGAGAUUGUAAAACAAGGAAAGGAAGCUGUGGAGGAGUCUGUAAAUCAGUGCAUUCAAGAAGGGCAAAAAUUUGUUCAAGAAGUGGUUGACAAAGGCACUGAAGCUACUAAAGAUGCUGCAAACAAGGCAGUGACUGAUAUUAAAGCUGGCUUCAAGCAGAAGUGAAAGUCAUUUACUCUUACCUAAUCUAUUGGAUCUGGUUUAAGCAGUAUUUACUCCUUGCAUUUUUAUUUUUCCUAUCAUAGGAGCAUAAUUAAAUCAUUCUGCCACACAUAUGAUUGGUUUUUUUUUUAUAAUGGGUAUAUAAUAAUUUGUUUUAUAUUUGUUUCUCUAAUGCCAGUUGUACAGCUAAAUGUUAGACAAGUUUAUGAGAGAAUAAAAGGUAAAGGUCAAGUAGAAAAUAUCUCUUGAAAAUAAUCAUUGGAUUACUAGAUACAUGUUGUGUGGCUGACAAAUAGUGUAUGCAUGACAUUGCAUUUGCUUAUAAACAGUGAUCAGUUCAUACUGCAGCAUACUGCACUUGCUUUAGUCCAACCAUAUGGCACAUAUAAUCAAUCAUGCAAUUUAUGCAAGGAUAAUAGAUCAUUUUAAAAACAUAAGACGUCAAUCUCCUUAUUUUAUUCAGUGAUACAGUAUCCCAAGAACUUGUUAAUCUUCUUAAACAUGAUCUUGCCAUCCUAGUAAACCAUAGAGCUAGCCUAGAGUAAGAUGUAAUGUUGACCUAAGGUAGAUGGAAAGCAAAGCUUAAGAUAAGAAGCAAAGAGGACCUUAGGAUAAAAAAAUGUAAGGUGUAAGGUAGAAUUGGGCAAAGGUGCAAGAUUUAAGGCAGGCCUAAAGUAAAACACCUAAAGUAUAAGGUAGACAAGAGCAAAAAUGUAACGUCUUUAAAUAUGAAAUCAAACAUAUUACAACAAUAAGGUAGUCCACAGUGUACCCAGAAUCCAUAAAACCUGAUGCAAAUGUUGGUACUAUACUUCCUCCCUUGAAUCCCAGCCAAAAAGCACUACCUGUGCAUGAUUUGACUUGGCAUUACCCCAACUCCAUUAUAUAAAAUCCUCCUAAAAAAAAGUCAUUUUGUUUCCGUUGCAUGUAUGUUUCUUUCAGAUGAAAAAAUAGUAACACUUUAUUAUAAUGUCUAUAAUUGAUAGCAUUUCUAAAAAUAUCCAUAAUGUAACAUACAGGUGUAUGUGGGUUUAUGAUCUAAUAAACUAAGCUCUAAACUGA